CUUUCGAUAGUUCAGUUGGUAGAGCGGAGGACUGUAGAGUAUUAACGUUGGUGAUCCUUAGGUCGCUGGUUCGAGUCCGGCUCGAAGGA
rnacentral:tRNA from 1 species